GAAUAGAUCAAGUUUCUGAAAGAUGUUCAGGACCUCUCUCCUAGUCACAUUCAACCUUUGGUUCGCUUUUGAAUAUCUUUGUGGAAGCUUGUCCCGCUAUUUUAAAGGACUAAGCCAUGGAGCCUGAUGAGAAACUUAUACUAAAUGCAGCACAUUUGAUGGUAUCAAGGUUGGCAGGAAGUCUUUUGCUAAUGUAACCUUUAAGGAACCUUUACUUGGUUCGUUAUCAAGGGAGCUUAGAAGGUCACUUCAGGGCUUGGCCGUAGCAACUGAUCUUCUAGAGAAGUCAUUUCUGCUGGACUAUGCCACAGAUCCUGAUCAGAAACUUAUAAGAAAUGCAACACAUUUGAUGGUAGCAAGGUUGGCAGGAAGUCUUGGUAAUGUAACCUGUAAGGUUGAGUAUAAAGCUGCGUAGCAAGCAGAACUCGGUCCCGUGUUGAUAGCUCUACUUCAGUGUUGAUCAAGUUCCACAGAUGUCCCCUGUUCUUCAGCAAUGAGGUGUUAUAGCUGUAACCACUACUCGUAGGAUUUUUAUGCUAGUACACUUUGAGCACACAGUUUUGUAGGGACUAACGCGGAGUUGUCCUAGUUCUCACUUCUGGUAUAGGGGGGCACCACCCCUUACUUGCUUUCUACGUAAACAAGGAAGUAUUCUAUCUCCCUUUAUAUUUUCUUGUCCUUCACAUUGAGGCUAAUGUUUAGAAUAGUUUUGAGGUGUGGGUGUUUGCGUGCAUUCUUUUUUUUGUGGUUGUAAUUUAUCCUAUUUGUGUGUGUAUGCAAGGUUUUCUCUAUUGAUUUUCACCAUAAAUACUCUUUUAUGGGUUAUUAGUGUAGACUAGUUUCUCUCAAGGGUUGGAGAACUAAGAUUCCCUAAUUUAAAAACCUAACUUUUUAAUAUUUUAAUAUGUGAAAAUAAAUUUGUGCUGCUGAACAAGACACGCUGCCGAACAAGACCAUGUACAUAUCUUAUAGUAUUUUCUAUGGUCUCUUGAUAUUUUCUCUCUGGUGAAUGUAGAGUCUGUUGAUGUUUUUUCCGAUAAAUGGGAUUUACUUUUUAAAGCAAUAAUAGUAGCAAAUAACUGAUAUAAAAAAUUUGGUAAUAGAUUGUGUUUAUUUAAUCCAUUGUCUAUGGGUUUGGGAUUCAUAUUGUUUUUAUUUUGCCCUUGUUGCAUUUUAACCUUGUAUACAUGCAGUCCAAACCAUUGAUGGGAAACAGAUAAACAACUUUCCAUUAGGAGAAAGUAUAGAGAAUGAUGUGCAACUAUUUUUUAUGCUAGCCUUUAUGUACAAGGUCAAAUGAGCCCUUUGUCCUAAGCUAGACCACCUGCCACAUUCACAACAACGAGUUUGUGAGGUUAUUCUCUGACAAAUUCUAGGACAUCUAAGUUGAUUCAGGUUGUCAGGCAAGAAUCGAUCCAUCCAGAGCUCAAAUGCAUUUCCAGUUUGACCCUCCGCUUCAUCAGUAGGUGGAUUUUCCUAUCAAUUUGCAUCUCUACUUCUGACGAAAUGAGUAUUAGCACUGGAAUUGGUGCUAUGCCCCACACACCCGAAAUUGGCUCUGACGAGAUAGAACCUAUUGGAUCCCCGAUACCUCCAAGUUCCUUCACCUCACAUUCAAUUGGCGAUGGUCCACAAACUCCAGAAAAUGACAUCAUUCCUUCAUUCCCUCCUGCUUUGGCCAGUUAUUGAUGAAACCUUUCAGUUAUGCAAACGAACCUGGAAAUGCUGCACAUCAUACUAAUGCAACUCUGUCUGCCGAGCAUCCUGGGACAAAUGUACCAUACUAUCUCGGAGAAGGACAAUAUUUCCGAUGAUGCACCAUAUAAUUUCAUAGGCUGGGCUUGGUCUAGAAGUGGGAAUGAUCCUACAUGGAGCUAAGGAGGAGUUAACUUCUAAAUGAGGCAAGAUGAGAGAAGAAAUACCUAACCCCCAUUACCUAACUUUCAACGCAAACAAGGGAGUAUUUUGUUUUCGCUCACAUUCAUUUUUCUUGUCCUUCACAAAAAGGACAAUGUUAAGAUUAAGAUUUGGGGACUAUGCCACAGAUCCUGAUGAGAAACUUAUACGAAAUGCAACACAUUUGAUGGUAGCAAGGUUGGCAGGAAGUCUUGGUAAUGUAACCUGUAAGGUUGAGUGUAAAGCUGCGUAGCAAUAAGAAUUCGGUCCGGUGUUGAUAGCUUCCAGAGAUGUCCCCUGUGCUUCAGAAGUGAGGAGCUAAGGAGGAGUUAACUUCUAAAUGAGGCAAGAUGAGAGAAGAAAUACCUAACCCCCAUUACCUAACUUUCAACGCAAACAAGGGAGUAUUUUGUUUUCCUCACAUUCAUUUUCUUUUCCUUCACAAAAAGGACAAUGUUAAGAUUAAGAUUUGGGGAGUCAAGGAGAUGUUAACUUCUUUGGAGCCAAGAUAAGAAAAGAAAUACCUAACUUCCCACACAAACAAGAGAGAUCUCGCCUAUCACAU